AUUGGACGCUGGCGGCAUGCCUUACACAUGCAAGUCGAACGGUAACAGGUUAAGCUGACGAGUGGCGAACGGGUGAGUAAUACAUCGGAACGUGCCCAGUAGUGGGGGAUAGCCCGGCGAAAGCCGGAUUAAUACCGCAUACGGCCUACGGGUGAAAGGGGGGGAUCGCAAGACCUCUCGCUAUUGGAGCGGCCGAUGUCAGAUUAGGUAGUUGGUGGGGUAAAGGCCUACCAAGCCUGCGAUCUGUAGCUGGUCUGAGAGGACGACCAGCCACACUGGGACUGAGACACGGCCCAGACUCCUACGGGAGGCAGCAGUGGGGAAUUUUGGACAAUGGGCGCAAGCCUGAUCCAGCAAUGCCGCGUGCAGGACGAAGGCCUUCGGGUUGUAAACUGCUUUUGUACGGAGCGAAAAGGUCUUCUCUAAUACAGGGGGCUGAUGACGGUACCGUAAGAAUAAGCACCGGCUAACUACGUGCCAGCCGCCGCAGUAA
rnacentral:rRNA from 1 species